UGGAGGCAAAGAUGAACUAAUAAUAAAGAUCAGCUUUUCAAACAAUUAGGAUUGAAUUGGUGGUCAUAUCUUCUUUGCCAAAGUCUUUCUUUGUAGUGAAGGCACACUGUGAUGAGAAAGCAUGAAAACACAAUUAUAUCAACAAUGCAACAAAUAGGACGGAUCAGUGCAUGAGGUUCCCACCGAGUGAAUUUUGAAGAAAGUAAAUAUAUGCAGUCUUAUCUCCGCAAGUAGACAAGUCGUUGUGCAAGGCUCAUUCUCAUCAACAAUGCAAAAAAUUGAUGUCAAACAACUAAUAUAAUCACAAGAUAAUGUCGCUCCUAAAAAAAUUCUGCAUCUGUCAUCACAAUUCUUACAUUCCAAUGCUCCAAAUGCAUACCCUCCCAAUCCCUUUAUACCUGACAAUAUAUGUAACAUUUAAACACAAAUAAGACAGCACUGUGUCACCAAGAACAUCUAGAAUUUGUUUGCAUUCGCUUUUUCCAUCAAUCAGUUCUUCCACUCGAUCCUCAUACAAACUUCUUACACAUUGUUGUCAAAGUUUGUCAUGCAUUGAUCAGACCAGCAAAUUCUUCCACAUCAAUUCAUCGCUCCCAAACACACUAAUGGGCUUAGACAUCGUUCUAAAGGGAAACGGAUUAGGUACAAUUAGGCAGUUAGUUAGUAAGAGGAUAGCUUAGUUUGUUAGAGGGGAUAUGUAAGUUUGUAUGUUUGAUAGCUUUUUUGUGAAAGGAGUAAUCCUUUAUAGAAGGGAACCCUUGGAAGAGACACCUCUCUCUUGUUCUUAAUCAUUUAUUCAGUAUAAGUUAUUUUCUUCAUUUUUUCUAUUAGCUUUUUCUUCGGUUGCACUUGUUUAUUAAGCAUCCUAAGCCUUGUUACAAAGUAAAGCUUUAUCUGAAGAUCGACAGAUAAAAGAUCUUGUUAAUUCUUGAAAUUUUGUAACUCCUCGAUCUAUAAAUUAAUAUUUUGAUUCAGCAUACACUCAGUCUUCUUGAUGGUGAGAACACUCCCCGUUGAUGGUGAGGACAUUUUAUGUGGAACCUCGGGUUUGAACCCGAAUCACCAUAUUUUCCCCUCCCCGUGUGUGUUUAUUCGAGUAUGUGUUGUCCACUUGUAUUUUUUGUAUUCUUAUUAUUCUUUUAUUUCAAUUUUUGUGUUCCGAACAACUUAUAUUAUGUGUGUUCUAUAAAUUGUAGUUGUACUGCUUUCUGCCAUAGCAUUAGUAAUCUACUUUUGUGGAUUGUAUUUUUAUUAGCAAUACAAUGCUUUUAAUUUAGAACACUUUUUACAUAUGAUUAAUUUCUUUUGUUGAUAUUUUCAGAAUACCAUAUUACUGGCGUAUGGUAGGGAGAUUAAUUUUGGACAUGGUUGGUAUAUGCACUUUAUAAAGAUGCCUUGACAAUAUUCACUUGCAAGUAUGUAGGACAAGAGUUUGAAUUGUAAGCUGCCAUGUUUUCAAAAAGUAUAUGAAGAAGAGGGAAGGUGGUGGAACUGAACUCCACAGAUCAUCGUGUAACUUUUAAGUAUUUUGAAAUUAUAUGGUGUGAACAGUUAUUUUCUUGCUUGUUGAAAUCUAAGUGAUAGAUACUGUGAAUCAAUUUGGUGAUGUGGCAAAACACUUUUCUAGCAGGCAUUGUGGAAUGAAAAGUUGGUUGGUAGUUUGUUAUUUGAAACCAAUAUUUUCUCAUCGUUGCCAUUCAUUAUGUCCAUUUUUGCUAAAAUAUUCACAGUUUCUAUUCUAUUCUAUAUUGAUUGUUGACCAUGUUUCUUUCAUA
rnacentral:lncRNA from 1 species